CAUUACAGAGUUCAUGCCCGAAAGGGUAGACCUCCCACCCUUGUGUAUUAUUACUUUGUUGCUUUGGCGAGCUGCCUUCGGGCCUUGUAUGCUCGCCAGAGGAUAAUUAAACUCUUUUUAUUAAUGUCGUCUGAGUACUAUAUAAUAGUUAAAACUUUCAACAACGGAUCUCUUGGUUCUGGCAUCGAUGAAGAACGCAGCGAAAUGCGAUAAGUAAUGUGAAUUGCAGAAUUCAGUGAAUCAUCGAAUCUUUGAACGCACAUUGCGCCCCUUGGUAUUCCGGGGGGCAUGCCUGUUCGAGCGUCAUUUCAACCCUCAAGCACAGCUUGGUAUUGAGUCUAUGUCAGUAAUGGCAGGCUCUAAAAUCAGUGGCGGCGCCGCUGGGUCCUGAACGUAGUAAUAUCUCUCGUUACAGGUUCUCAGUGUGCUUCUGCCAAAACCCAAAUUUUCUAUGGUUGACCUCGGAUCAGGU
rnacentral:rRNA from 1 species